GCCAGGUGUGGUGGCGCAUGCCUGUAAUCCCAGCUACUCAGGAGGCUGAGGCAGGAGAAUCGCUUGAACCUGGGAGGCAGAGGUUGCAGUGAGCUGAGAUCGUGCCACUGCACUCCAGCCUGGGUGACAGAGUGAGACUCUGUCUCAA
rnacentral:SRP_RNA from 1 species